UCCAGAAUUACGUGUUUAUCAUUUUUUUUAUGUUUAGGUUGCCAGCAAGAUGAAAAGAACAAUGCAGUUCAAAAGUCAAAAUGUGGAUAAGCUGAGGUACAAGGUCCUACUUUUGCAGUUUUUCAUAUUUUGCAUGAAUGAAUUUGAAGUUUAUAUCAUGGAGGGAUGAGAAAGAAAAGAAACACUUCAAUUUUCCUGCUUCUGAAGGAUAAAUGUAAAACAUCUUGUUUGAAGGAUUGAAAUUCAUCACUUAGAAUAAAAGGAUAAAACACAGAAACAAGACCAGAAUAAAUUCAAAGACAAAAGUCAGAUCAGUUAAUAUUUUCAUCACUCAGUCAAUGAAUAGACAACUUUCGAGUUCGUUGCAUUUCCGUCAAAAACUUUGGUUUUAGUGAACAUCAUUCGUGCGUUUAGGGGCGUCGUCACUUCAGUUCCUAUGUUGAGCGAGUGGUUGGAAAAAUAUAAUGCUAAAUUGCACGAAUCAUUCGGAAAAUUAAAUUCCUAUAAUUGAUAUUCAGCACUGCUGUCAUUAGGGAAUUGUGAUUAAGUACCUACGGAACCAAUAUUAUUUCUAGUUUAACCUGCAUAAUGACGUCCACAAAGACGCUUGAUGAACUUUAAUGGAGCAGGAAUACAGGCAAUCCCCUCUACCUGGUAAAUAAAUAAAUACCUGGUCACAAAGGCGCACAAAAUUGACGAACUUUUCCGGUGAAGGACAUAACUCGAAAGUGGUCUAUUGAAGUUCUAUUAAAUACCUCAAGAUAUUAAAACCACAAUAAUGACAAUGUUCUGUGUUGAAUGGCCAAAAAGUGGACUAUACAGUAUGAUCACACAAUGCUGGAUGAUAAGAAACUAUUAAUUUUUUGGGUGGAGGGAUAUCCUGAAAAAAAAUAGAUUUAUGUAAAAAGCUACUAGUAUGUUAAGCCUAAUAAUAGAGUUUUCAUUGAUUUCAAAUGGGAAAUAAUUGUGUUUCAAAAAAAUAUUCUAGAAUUCAUAAAUAAACAUAUAUUGAUACUUACA